rnacentral:rRNA from 1 species
GAUGAACGCUGGCGGCGUGCCUAAUACAUGCAAGUCGAGCGAACAGAUGAGGAGCUUGCUCCUCUGACGUUAGCGGCGGACGGGUGAGUAACACGUGGAUAACCUACCUAUAAGACUGGGAUAACUUCGGGAAACCGGAGCUAAUACCGGAUAAUAUAUUGAACCGCAUGGUUCAAUAGUGAAAGACGGUUUUGCUGUCACUUAUAGAUGGAUCCGCGCCGCAUUAGCUAGUUGGUAAGGUAACGGCUUACCAAGGCAACGAUGCGUAGCCGACCUGAGAGGGUGAUCGGCCACACUGGAACUGAGACACGGUCCAGACUCCUACGGGAGGCAGCAGUAGGGAAUCUUCCGCGAUGGGCGAAAGCCUGACGGAGCAACGCCGCGUGAGUGAUGAAGGUCUUCGGAUCGUAAAACUCUGUUAUUAGGGAAGAACAAAUGUGUAAGUAACUAUGCACGUCUUGACGGUACCUAAUCAGAAAGCCACGGCUAACUACGUG